UAGAGUUUGAUCCUGGCUCAGAACGAACGCUGGCGGCAUGCCUAACACAUGCAAGUCGAACGAUCCCUUCGGGGAUAGUGGCGCACGGGUGCGUAACGCGUGGGAAUCUGCCCUUGGGUUCGGAAUAACAGUGAGAAAUUACUGCUAAUACCGGAUGAUGUCUUCGGACCAAAGAUUUAUCGCCCAAGGAUGAGCCCGCGUAGGAUUAGCUAGUUGGUGGGGUAAUGGCCUACCAAGGCGACGAUCCUUAGCUGGUCUGAGAGGAUGAUCAGCCACACUGGGACUGAGACACGGCCCAGACUCCUACGGGAGGCAGCAGUGGGGAAUAUUGGACAAUGGGCGCAAGCCUGAUCCAGCAAUGCCGCGUGAGUGAUGAAGGCCUUAGGGUUGUAAAGCUCUUUUACCCGGGAUGAUAAUGACAGUACCGGGAGAAUAAGCUCCGGCUAACUCCGUGCCAGCAGCCCCGGUCAA
rnacentral:rRNA from 1 species